GAUGGGUUGGGUGGGAUUUGGACAGCAUGCGCGAGUCUGGGAGUCGGUAUCGACUUUAUAUCCGCUGGGACAGCCGCUGGCGAGUAUGAGCGGCCUAACACUUUGGUUGACCGUGACGGUCUGUGUGGCAUGUGUCGUAGCCAUCCCUUCCAGUCUCCUGACGGACGUGAAACAGGCAGAGAUGUCCCACGCCAGACUUACUAAUAAAGUAAAACGAGCUCAAGAAGUGAUCAUGUUCGGCAAUCAACAGAACAGAGGAGGCGAUGGUCGAAACGCCUUCUCUCUUCCACGCGCCGAGAAACGAGGUAUAGACCUAGAGGACGGUGCCAUGGGGGAAUCCGCUCCCAACGGCCUAGCCGAGGCUGCCACAGAGCAACCCCAUGAGCCUUACCCUCCAGAGGAUGAAGUCCUGGAGGAACCCAAGGUCCUUGCCCAGAGUUACCGACCCUUGGCCGAACUGCAGAACUCUGUGCUUAAGUCGGAGUACUUCACUGACCCAGCCUCUCUGACCGACCUCAGAUAUUAUGAUUUAGAUGAGAGACGCAAAAGGGAAACUUUCAGGACUCCGUCCAAACGCUCAAGUCGAGGCCUAACUGGGAGAGCCAAGCGAGACCUAGACCUGGACCCAGAGGAGCUCCUUGCAAUACUGUCAUACUGGGAGAACGAGCGACGCAACAAGCUCCAGGCCAGCAGGAACAUGUACAACAAGUAUCCAGUGGACAAUGAAGAUUUAGAGAUGCUUGAAAACAGUGAAUCUGGAAAUGAGCUGGGAGACAGUGAAGAACCUAGACAAGAUGGGUGGUAUGAUGGCCCAGUAGCUCUUCCCUCUCAUCACUUCGCUGCAGGUCCUCGCACGGAGAUGUGGCCUCGCCAGUAUUCUGACGACCGUCGGAAACGAUUCAUGGUUUCCAAGAGACGACCCCAGGAAGGGGAUAUGUACUCUCUUGCACAAUUAUUAAACGCACCACAGCGUGACAUCGCUGCCCCAGUGUUUCGUCGUUAUGUUCUCUGAACUAUGAUGUAAACAAUGUACAGCUUUAAAGAAGAGUUAUCGUCUAUGAUAAACAUAACUAAUAUCUUGUAAUUCAGGGUCCUAAACUAAAAAUGAA